rnacentral:rRNA from 1 species
UACAGAGGGGGCAAGCGUUGUUCGGAAUUACUGGGCGUAAAGGGCGCGUAGGCGGCCCGCUAAGUCGAACGUGAAAUCCCCGAGCUCAACUCGGGAACUGCGUCCGAUACUGGCGGGCUUGAAUCCGGGAGAGGGAUGCGGAAUUCCAGGUGUAGCGGUGAAAUGCGCAGAUAUCGGGAGGAACACCAAUGGCGAAAGCAGGUACCUGGACUAUUGCUGACACUAAACUGCGAAAGCUAGGGGAGCAAACAGG